rnacentral:tRNA from 1 species
GCUUCCGUAGCUCAGUUGGUUAGAGCUUCGUACUAAUACAAGUUGGUGAUGCGGAGGCCGCAGGUUCAAGCCCUGCCGGGAGCA